rnacentral:rRNA from 1 species
GACGAACGCUGGCGGCGUGCUUAACACAUGCAAGUCGAACAGUAAGGCCCUUCGGGGUACACGAGUGGCGAACGGGUGAGUAACACGUGGGUGAUCUGCCCUGCACUUCGGGAUAAGCCUGGGAAACUGGGUCUAAUACCGGAUAGGACCACUGCCUGCAUGGGUGGUGGUGGAAAGCUUUUGCGGUGUGGGAUGGGCCCGCGGCCUAUCAGCUUGUUGGUGGGGUGAUGGUCUACCAAGGCGACGACGGGUAGCCGGCCUGAGAGGGUGACCGGCCACACUGGGGCUGAGAUACGGCCCAGACUCCUACGGGGGGCAGCAGUGGGGAAUAUUGCACAAUGGGCGCAAGCCUAAUGCAGCGACGCCGCGUGAGGGAUGACGGCCUUCGGGUUGUAAACCUCUUUCAGCACCGACGAAGCGCAAGUGACGGUAGGUGCAGAAGAAGGACCGGCCAACUACGUGCCAGCCGCCGCCGUAA